GAGGAGUGGGUCCGGAAGCGGCGCCGGAGCGGGUCCGGAAGCGGGCGGUGGAGAAGUCCAGUUGCCCCAAAAUUCUUAGGGAAAUAACGUGCGCGGCGGAGGAGCCCUGUCCUGGAGAAUAACGCGUGAAGAAGACAGUGGACUGGGCAUUUCGUCCAGAUGAAUGAGCAUGGUAGUUAAGUGUAGAAGGUGACCUUCUUCCCUCUGGAGAGACCAGGGAGGGGGGAACCACCGGAGGAGUUUCUAGCGGUUGCAGCUACUUGAGGUUCCAGUCUAAUAACUACGAACUGUUCAUUUCAAGUAGCAUUAAAGUAGAUUUGCUACAGUAACAAUUACACUUGGCUAAGGAAAAUUUGCAAGGCAACAUGGUCUAUUGCAUAGAGCACUGAGCCACAUGUUAACACUGUAACAAACACUUGCUAUUUUGAAAUUUUACGCUUCAUCUUUUGCAAAUCAGAUGCAGGUGCAGAGUGAAUUAAGAGGAGCUGAAUUAAGAGAGAAGCUUGCAUGCACUGCUGUCAAAACCUAAACACACUGGCUUUUUUUUUUUUAACAGUUCCUUUUUUCAAGGUAUAGAUUCUGGGAAGGUAAGGGAAGAUAAAACAGCUUUUCUUUUUCUCUCCUGUUUUUUUUUUUGUUGUUUUUUUUUUGAGACUAGGUCUCACUCUAUUCCCCAUGCUGGAGUGCAGUGGCACAAUCAUAGCUUACAGUAGCCUCGAACAGCGAUCCUCUUGCCUCAGCCUCCAAAGUAGCUGGGACUACAGGCGCGCGCCACAACACCUGGCCAAGCGUUUCUUCCAGAUCAUUCCUUACUGGGUUGCUGGUUCAGUAAAAAUAAAAAAAUAAAAAAUAAUUUAGAAAUGAGUUCCCAAAUUUCAUUAUGUUCCCAAUGUCAUUUGGAAUCACUGUUUCACUGUUUUCUUAUUUACCCCUGGGUCGUACAUUACUUCACUUAUUUAUAUCUAACAGGAAGCAGAGCUUCUGCUAUAUUUUAGGCUGUAUUCAGUUUUAUACAGAAUACCUUUUUUAGAGCUUGAAGACAAAUGUUUUAGAUUUUGACAGUAAAACAAAUUUCCCUCAUUUUUACAUAUAGAGAAAAGCAAUUCCCAGAAAGAUAACAUUGUGAAAUUACUGAAAUCAGUUAUAAAACUCAGGGCAAAGUGUGGAAUUAAAGUGGUUCACAGUCAUUUGAAUACACAUACUCAGAUGUAUUCUAAACUAAGAUGAGUUUUUUUUUAAGCAAACGUUUAGAGAUUUUAUUCAGAGUAUAUAAAGAACUCUCAAAACUCAGUGAGAAAAAAAGCAUUUAAAAAAUGGGCAAAAGAUUUAAACAGAUUUCACCAAACGAGAUAUAUAUAUACAUACACACACACACACACACACACACACACACACACACACACGACAGGCAUAUUAAAUGAUGUUCCACCUCAUUAGUCAUUAGAGAAAUGCAAAUUAAACCACAAUGAGAUACUAGACUACACUUCUGUUAGAAUGAGCGGGGAAAAUGACUGACUAUACAAAUGUUGGUGAAGAUGAAAAUGCUGAGCAAGUACAACUUGCAUACAUUGCUGUUAGGCAUGCAGAAUUCAGCCAUUUUGCAAAACAUUUAUAGUGGCUUUGUUUUGUUUGUUUUUUAAUUUUUGUGGGUACAUAGUAGGUGUAUAUAUUUGUGGGGUACAUGAGAUGUUUUGAUACAGGCAUGCAAUGUGAAAUAAUCACAUCAUGGAGAUGGGGUAUCCAUCCCCUUGAGUAUUUAUCCUUUGUGUUACUUUUAGUUAUUAUAAAUUUUAGUUAUUUUAAAAUCUACAAUCAAGUUAUUGACUCUAGUCAACUUGUGCUGUCAAAUA
rnacentral:lncRNA from 1 species